rnacentral:misc_RNA from 1 species
AACGCACAUUGCGCCUCCUGGUAUUCCGGGAGGCACGCCCGUUUGAGCGUCAGCUUACCUCUCCGGCCGACUUUUGUCGGUCGGGCUUUGGCGUGGGGAUUCGGCCCGGCGGAUUUCCGCCCGGCCUGCCCCCGCUUAAACGCGGAGAAAGCUAGCGGGCGAGCCCCCGAACGCAACAACUUGUAGAAACCUUUUGCUGUUGUGAGCGUCUCGGCGGCCGCCAGCCUCUAAACCUGAAGGCCCCCGCGGCCUUGAACUUUUGACCUCAAAUCGGGCGAGGAUACCCGCUGAACUUAA